UAUAUAUAUAUAUAUAUACAUAUAGUUCUGUAAAACAAAAUCAAUUUAGAAAAGCCAGUCAAGGCUGUGAAAUGUAUAUGAUAUUCAAGCGAUUGAUCAUCGGUGGAGAAGAAGGCGAGUGGGAAAAAGAAAGAUAAAGAAGAAUCGAAGUAGCAUAAUAUUUCAAUUUUUUAGAAGAUUCAUCUAUAUACCGCGAUUCCAGUUUACGAAAUUUGAGGCAACAAUGAUGAAGAAAGAGGUGGAAACUCAGAUGAAAAACGAAGUCCAAUUUGUAAAGUGUGAGUGUUGUGGAUUGACAGAGGAAUGUACAGAGGCGUACAUAGCGAGAAUUCGGGAAAGGAAUGAAGGGCGAUGGAUAUGCGGACUGUGUGCGGAGGCGGUGAAGGAUGAAAUUGUGAGAUCGUCAUCGGAGAGAAGGAUUGGAAGAGAUGAAGCUUUCAAUCGACACAUGACAUUUUGCAGAAAGUUCAGAGCAAAAAGUCUGCCCCCGAAUCCGACGGGGGAAUUGAUAUCAGCAGUGAAGCAGUUGCUGCUGAGGAGCUUGGAUUCGCCGCGAUCAAAUCCGGUGAGUAGAGGAGGUUUGCUACGAUCGCAGAGUUGCUUUUCAGCUAUUGAUAGUUGAAUGAAAUGAUAUUGGGGCAUAAUUAAUAAUUGAAGUAAAUAGUAUUGGGCUAGAAUAAGUUUUGCC